GAGUUAUUGUGAAGAUAAAAGUAAAAAUAAAAUAAGAGGGGUAAAAGCGAAGGUACCUUGACAACGCCAAGGAUUGAAGGCAGCGACCCCCUUCUACUCCAAAAUUCGCCAAAAAUUUUAAUUAGCUCCAAAUUGAAUGAUUCGCAAGUUGUUGCAAGGUUAAUUUAAAGACGCUCUUGCUCCAACAAAUCUCAUUGCAAUCUAGUGAUUCAAUCGUGAGAAUUGCUCCUUUAAAUUUGAGUGAUCCAAACUGCCGCGGCGACCAACCCCCUUCACUUAGAAAUUCGCUAAAAAAUUAAAAUUUUCUUCAAAUCCAGCAAAACUUGUGCCCUUAAAAGCUUAGCUUACAAGUCUUGAUGCUUCCAAAAUUUCAAACGAAUCCAGUUAUCAAGCACUGAGAAAUGGCUUCCCAAACUCGAUU
rnacentral:lncRNA from 1 species